GACGAACGCUGGCGGCGUGCCUAAUACAUGCAAGUAGAACGCUUAGGAGAGGAGCUUGCUCUUCUUGGAUGAGUUGCGAACGGGUGAGUAACGCGUAGGUAACCUGCCUUGUAGCGGGGGAUAACUAUUGGAAACGAUAGCUAAUACCGCAUAACAAUGGAUGACACAUGUCAUUUAUUUGAAAGGGGCAAUUGCUCCACUACAAGAUGGACCUGCGUUGUAUUAGCUAGUAGGUGAGGUAAUGGCUCACCUAGGCGACGAUACAUAGCCGACCUGAGAGGGUGGUCGGCCACACUGGGACUGAGACACGGCCCAGACUCCUACGGGAGGCAGCAGUAGGGAAUCUUCGGCAAUGGGGGCAACCCUGACCGAGCAACGCCGCGGGAGGGAAGAAGGGUUUCGGAUCGUAAAGCUCGGUUGUAAGUCAAGAACGGGUGUGAGAGUGGAAAGUUCACACUGUGACGGUAGCUUAACAGAAAGGGACGGCUAACUACGUG
rnacentral:rRNA from 1 species